rnacentral:rRNA from 1 species
GACGAACGCUGGCGGCGUGCUUAACACAUGCAAGUCGAACGGAAAGGCCUUUUCGGAGGUACUCGAGUGGCGAACGGGUGAGUAACACGUGGGUGAUCUGCCCUGCACUCUGGGAUAAGCCUGGGAAACUGGGUCUAAUACCGGAUAGGACCGCACUUUAGUGUGUGUGGUGGAAAGUUUUUUCGGUGUAGGAUGAGCCCGCGGCCUAUCAGCUUGUUGGUGGGGUAAUGGCCUACCAAGGCGGCGACGGGUAGCCGGACUGAGAGGUUGGUCGGCCACAUUGGGACUGAGAUACGGCCCAGACUCCUACGGGAGGCAGCAGUGGGGAAUAUUGCACAAUGGGCGCAAGCCUGGUGCAGCGACGCCGCGUGGGGGAUGACGGCCUUCGGGUUGUAAACUCCUUUCGCCAGGGACGAAGCGUUUUGUGACGGUACCUGGAGAAGAAGCACCGGCUAACUACGUG